rnacentral:rRNA from 1 species
AGGACGAACGCUGGCGGCGUGCUUAACACAUGCAAGUCGAGCGGAAAGGCCCUUCGGGGUACUCGAGCGGCGAACGGGUGAGUAACACGUGAGUAAUCUGCCCCUAGCUCUGGGAUAGCUCCGGGAAAACCGGGAUUAAUACCAGAUACGACCACUUUAGACAUCUGUUGUGGUGGAAAGAAUUUUGGCUAGGGAUGAGCUCGCGGCCUAUCAGCUUGUUGGUGAGGUAACGGCUCACCAAGGCGACGACGGGUAGCCGGCCUGAGAGGGCGACCGGCCACACUGGGACUGAGACACGGCCCAGACUCCUACGGGAGGCAGCAGUGGGGAAUAUUGCGCAAUGGGCGAAAGCCUGACGCAGCGACGCCGCGUGGGGGAUGAAGGCCUUCGGGUUGUAAAGCUCUUUACCCGGGAAGAGUAAUGACUGUACCGGGAGAAGUAAGCCCGGCUAACUCCGCGCCAGCAGCCGC